GUUGCGGGGGGGGGUGCUAUACAUGCAGUCGAGCGGACAGAAGGGAGCUUGCUCCCGGAUGUUAGCGGCGGACGGGUGAGUAACACGUGGGUAACCUGCCUGUAAGACUGGGAUAACUCCGGGAAACCGGAGCUAAUACCGGAUAGUUCCUUGAACCGCAUGGUUCAAGGAUGAAAGACGGUUUCGGCUGUCACUUACAGAUGGACCCGCGGCGCAUUAGCUAGUUGGUGAGGUAACGGCUCACCAAGGCGACGAUGCGUAGCCGACCUGAGAGGGUGAUCGGCCACACUGGGACUGAGACACGGCCCAGACUCCUACGGGAGGCAGCAGUAGGGAAUCUUCCGCAAUGGACGAAAGUCUGACGGAGCAACGCCGCGUGAGUGAUGAAGGUUUUCGGAUCGUAAAGCUCUGUUGUUAGGGAAGAACAAGUGCAAGAGUAACUGCUUGCACCUUGACGGUACCUAACCAGAAAGCCACGGCUAACUACGUGCCAGCAGCCGCGGUAAUACGUAGGUGGCAAGCGUUGUCCGGAAUUAUUGGGCGUAAAGGGCUCGCAGGCGGUUUCUUAAGUCUGAUGUGAAAGCCCCCGGCUCAACCGGGGAGGGUCAUUGGAAACUGGGAAACUUGAGUGCAGAAGAGGAGAGUGGAAUUCCACGUGUAGCGGUGAAAUGCGUAGAGAUGUGGAGGAACACCAGUGGCGAAGGCGACUCUCUGGUCUGUAACUGACGCUGAGGAGCGAAAGCGUGGGGAGCGAACAGGAUUAGAUACCCUGGUAGUCCACGCCGUAAACGAUGAGUGCUAAGUGUUAGGGGGUUUCCGCCCCUUAGUGCUGCAGCUAACGCAUUAAGCACUCCGCCUGGGGAGUACGGUCGCAAGACUGAAACUCAAAGGAAUUGACGGGGGCCCGCACAAGCGGUGGAGCAUGUGGUUUAAUUCGAAGCAACGCGAAGAACCCUUACCAGUCUUGACAUCCUCUGACAACCCUAGAGAUAGGGCUUUCCCUUCGGGGACAGAGUGACAGGUGGUGCAUGGUUGUCGUCAGCUCGUGUCGUGAGAUGUUGGGG
rnacentral:rRNA from 1 species